GUAACAUGACAAUACACCUAUAAACACUAAGCGGAAGUUUUACUUUCGGUUUUGGAGUACCCGGAUGUUCGAGUAAAAUCCGUAGGCAGCGUAAACCGCCAUAUGUAAUGUCUACUGUCACUAUCAAAAUCCUUUAGAAAUGCUGUAAUUGUUUCGGUUUAUUUGUUAAUGUUUUUGUCAAGAUGGACGAUCUAAGUGAUAUGAACCUUGAAAAAAUUAAAUUAUGGUCGAUUCAUGCGCUUAAAGUGUUUCUGUCAAAAAGGAAAGCUGACGUAGAUGGCUCGUUUGAUGAACUCUGUGCGAGAGCCUUUAGUGCAUGGGAACAACAGCUUCCAGUUGAUGCAAAGGCAGAGUGUAAAGAGAUGCGUCUCUUAGGGAAGUACAGUGCGAAACUUCGUGUUGAUGGUGGAGUAUUGCCAGACCCCAUGAUGCUGAAAUCUGGAUGGAAGGGUGAGAAUGCUGGCAUGAACUUAUGGCCUUCUAUUUACAUUACAGACAUCUCAGCCUACAUCGACGGUACAUCCCCUAGUGCUGUUGUUCAUAAACUCAUGAAGGAAUAUAAAUGAUAAUGAAUGGGUCAGAGAAGUUUUAAUGCACCAAAUAUCUGACGAAUUUGAUAAGUGUUUUUUGAAGGCAAAAGUUAAACCUUCACAAAGAGUGAACAAUGCAAGUUACAAUGUUUGGGUAUGUGUUAUGAAAGACCAGAGUGAAAAACCUGAAGGUGAAAUUAUUUCAGCUUAUUGUACCUGUACAGCUGGCAUGUAUGGCACAAGUAAUCAUAUUGCAGGACUCUUGUUCCGUUGUGAACAUGCUGUGAAAACAGGGGCGACCAAAAUCGCAUGCACCAGCAAGUCAGCAACUUGGGUUGUAGCAAAAGGGAAACAGUUGCUGAAUUAUGCAAAAGCAAAAGAUGUCGUAUGGAAAAAAAGCCACUAUCUAACAUCUCCCACAGACCGUCAAGCUGAGGUUAUGGCUAGGAAAAUGAAACAGGCAUUCACACCACUUACGAAAAAAAAAAGUGAAGAUGUUAAAGAUGGUGCCAAAAUGCGCGUAGAUCUUCACACCUUACUAGCUCCUGAUAUUCCAGACUCUUGCUUUAGUUUAACAAUGGAGGGAAGACGACACGAGAAUAAAUCCAUUGAACUACCGAAAACAAUCAUUGAGCUAAGCAAAGAAACAUUAACAUCAGAUGAACUCAAAUCAAAAAAGUCGCCGUGGUGUAAUGGAUAUGGUGUCCGCCUAGCGACCGAGAGGUCACGGGUUCGAUCCCCACCGUGGGAGCGUUCUUUAGAUCUCUCCCAAAGACACCAAGUACUGGUUCUAGGCCCAGGAAACGGACUCGACAGCGUUUAUAUAAGCCUCAGGCUUUCGAUGCAAUCGAGCUAAAAUAAAUAGGUUUAAACUAAAUUUAUGGCUUUAAAUCGGCGUAAAAUGGGCAUUUUGUUUCUGACAAACACAUCUCUUGUUUAUGAUUUAUCAAAGAAAUCAACAAUCAAUCAAUCAAGAAUAUUUCUUUGUCAAUUUGUUAGUCAUUUACAUUUUUUUAAAUGUCUGUAACAAAUCUGUAAAGAUUGGCCAUGCAUGUUUGUCAUAUUGUAUUGUAUUUGUACAUAUUGUAGUUGUACAAGUCAUGGAUAAGAUGAUAAACUUGUGAAACUGCAUAAAAUUGUCAAUAACUGCAAUUGUCUUGGAAUAAUAUGUUUACUUAGAAAACAAACUAAACCCUUUCUGUUAAUUUGUAUGCAUGUUUAGCUAAAAUAAAAUGGUAACAAUACAAGUAAA